CCUACGGGAGGCAGCAGUGGGGAAUAUUGGGCAAUGGGCGCAAGCCUGACCCAGCAACGUCGCGUGAAGGAAGAAGGCCUUCGGGUUGUAAACUUCUUUUGACAGGGAAGAGCAGAAGACGGUACCUGUCGAAUAAGCCACGGCUAACUACGUGCCAGCAGCAGCGGUAAUACGUAGGUGGCAAGCGUUGUCCGGAUUUACUGGGUGUAAAGGGCGUAUAGCCGGGCUGACAAGUCAGAUGUGAAAUACGGGGGCUCAACCCCCGAACUGCAUUUGAAACUGUUUGUCUAGAGUAUCGGAGAGGCAGGCGGAAUGCCUAGUGUAGCGGUGAAAUGCGUAGAUAUUAGGAGGAACACCAGUGGCGAAGGCGGCCUGCUGGACGACAACUGACGGUGAGGCGCGAAAGCGUGGGGAGCAAACAGGAUUAGAUACCCCAGUAGUC
rnacentral:rRNA from 1 species